ACUUAGUUUCAUAAUGUGUUGGUGUUUGCAAGUCGUCAUUUGUUUCUCUUCGAAGACUCUAAACGCGUUUUGACUGCUGGAAAUGGGGGGUUAUUAUAAUCUGUCAAGUUAUAUGCAAUUUUGAGUGAGGUUUUGCGUGUAAACCUUAUCAUGAAGAGAGAAACAAUGAUUUUAUGAACGACGAUAGUGGUGCGUACAUUCCCAUCGUGCAUUGCAAUCUGCUGUAAACAUCUGGUAUAAAUGGCUGACGGCCAAUGAAGAAAUGGUGGAAGAAGGUCCAGCCGGAAACACGCAAAUUUCGAACGGUCCUAACUCCCAGGCCGGUCCGUCCAUUACUGGGUUUGGUGUCAAGGGUGUAGACGAUCAAGUGCCUCGAACUCUGCCGUAUUCUAUUCCGGGAAUCUUGCACUUCAUCCAACAUGAAUGGGCACGGUUCGAGAUGGAAAGGUCACAGUGGGAAGUGGAAAAGGCCGAACUUCAGGCGAGGAUCGCAUUCCUGCAGGGAGAGCGACAGGGCCAGGAGAACCUGAAGAGGGAUCUUGUGCGCCGCAUCAAGAUGCUUGAGUAUGCCUUGAAGCAGGAGAGGGCCAGGUUCCACAAGUUGAAGUAUGGUGCAGACAUGCUGCCAGACAAUAAAGAGUUGGAGGAAGCAGAGGACCUCAACGGAGAUAACUAUCUGACAGGUGUUGAGAAUCAUUCGUGGAAGCAGGGCAGACAACUACUGAGACAGUACCUGCAGGAGAUCGGUUACACGGACACCAUCAUCGAUGUCAGGUCAGCGCGGGUCAGGCAGCUGCUGGGCCUGUCUCCCAACAACAAUGACCUUGGCAAGGAGCUCGCCACUCUGCCUGCCGUCAACGGAGACCAGACGACAAAGAGGGUCAGCGAUGGCCAGGGCAGAAGGGUGCAGGCUAAGAAGCAUCCAGCCACGCUGGGAGAGGGCGCUCUGCUGGAGAGUGAGGCGGCCGUCAUCGAUACCUUCAGCUUCCUGUCGACGGAGAACGACUUGGAAGUCGAGGAUGACGAGGAGAAUGAGGCGGAUCUCAUAGAUGAGACUCUGGCUGAUGAACUGGAUAGGAUAGAUGUAAAGAAACCAAAGCCCAAGGGCAUGACCAGGAGCAACGAGGGCAUGGCGCGCAUGGACGACGUGCUAGCCAACGAGACCGAGGAGGCACUCUCGCAGUUCGACUUUCUCGGAUCGGACGGCGCAGACGGCGCGGGUGAGGCGAGGACGCAGGGCGACGGCACCGAGUGGGAGAAGAGCGAGUUAGCAGCUGCACCGCCCCCUGGCGAUAACGAUUGGAACGUAGACGAGCAGAUGCUGAGCAGGCUCAAACAAGAGUACAGCAAAGACAGCAAACAUUCGCGCAACAUGCAGAGGCCUAAGCGCUCGACCCUGCAGGCGAUGCUUGCCAGUCUGGGUGGAAACGAUGAUAUUGGGCUGCCCAGCGUCACAGCCCCAUGCGCGGGUCCGGCACCCGCCGCCGCCGCCGCCGCCGCCGCCACCGCCUCCGACAGUUUGUCAAAUAGCCUCCCUGCAGAUGACACUGCUGUUGAUGAAGCAGCUGGACCAAACGAUGCCAACAUCCCGUUUCCAGCAGGACCGCGGCGCCCCCUGCCAGCCGAAGAAGGUUUUGAGCCAGGUUUUGGCCUCGGAGAACUGGCAGGGCUGACAAUACAGAACGAUUGCGAGCUAUCUUACGAUCUUUCAUCGAGCAAGGAUGCCCUACGCAAGACGUGGAAUGCCAAGUACACGCUGAGGAGUCACUUUGAUGGCAUCCGAGCGCUAGUCUUCCACCCCGUCGACCCUGUACUCAUCACUGCCUCCGAGGACCACACGCUGAAGCUGUGGAACCUGGACAAGACCGUACCCGCAAAGAAAACUGCCUCAUUAGAUGUAGAGCCUGUCUACACAUUCAGAGGGCACACGGGCGCUGUCCUGUCAUUGGCCAUGUCUGUGUCAGGCGAGGAAUGCUUCAGUGGAGGUAUUGACUCGAGCAUUCGCUGCUGGAAGAUCCCCAGCUCCAAUGUUGACCCCUAUGAUAUGUAUGACCCAUCAGUCUUAGCCGCAACACUUACUGGUCACACUGGUGCUGUCUGGGGCCUCUCUGUGCACAGCAGUAAUAACCGGCUACUGUCCUGUGCAUCGGACGGCACCGUGCGAUUAUGGCAACCAUACACUAAAGAACCACUACUGAAAACGUUCACUAGUGAAAAUGGUCUCAUACCCACCUCGAUAGACUUUGUGCGGUCAGAUCCGAUACAGAUGGUCGCCGCGUAUAGCGAUUGUGAUGCAGUCAUCUACGACUUGGAGACCUCUCAGCCAGUCAUUCACCUGGAGAGCAAGGAUUUGUCAGAGCCGGGUGUUCUGUCAACGAUACAUCAGGUGGUUAGUCACCCGACCCUGCCCAUUACAGUGACAGCACAUGAGGACAGGCAUAUCCGCUUCUUUGACAAUAAUACAGGUAAGAUGGUUCACACGAUGGUGGCACACCUGGAUGCCGUGACGAGUCUCGCCAUCGAUCCCAACGGCUUGUACCUGCUAUCAGGAAGCCAUGACUGUUCAAUAAGACUAUGGAAUCUGGAUAGCAAGACAUGUGUACAAGAGAUCACAUCACAUCGCAAGAAGUUUGAUGAAUCCAUAUAUGAUGUGGCUUUCCAUCCGUCUCGACCCUACAUAGCAAGUGCGGGAGCAGACGCGCUCGCGAAAGUAUUCGUAUGACAUCAUCGUUGACAUUGCCUAAGUCUGUGACAUUAUUUAUCACGUGAUCACCAAUGGUGAAGCAAGUCGAUUAUGAUCAGUCAUCGUUUGCUGUAAUGAUACUUAGGUAUGACAGUAUUGUUAUGACGGUAUAAAUAUAUUAAAGGACGUGUCACUUGUAAAAUAUGAAAUGCACAGUUGAAUAUGCUCACUGCCUCUGGAGUGUAGGUUGGCAUGCCAGUUUUCUUCCCCUGCCAGCAGACUGGCCGUUCCUGCCGACUCGGAUCAGCUCACCACAAAAUGACCUAAACCAGGACAUUAGGUAGUCAUUGUACUACUCGGGCGAGUUUGCAAGAAAAUACUGGAAGUGGAACUGUUGUUUGCACACGUCACUUUGAGUGACAUAACGGUAUUCUGACGACUACGUGCACAAAGUGCUUGACAUUACACACAGCAUGAUCGCCUUUCGAAGGUUGGGACACGUAGGAGGAGCUUGUGUGCUUCGGCGUCUAUGUGAAGUUUACGAGCAUGCGUGAUAGACAUACGAACAUUGUGUGAUGUAAGGUGGUUGAGUCACAAUGCUUGUGAAUUAAGACAAUGCUGUUUUUAUAAUGAUAUCAACGAGGGAAAAGAAGAGCUGGAAGGGGAGAGAGGGGAGAAAGUAAUGUACAGGAGUGGGAGAGCGGAGGAGAGAGGGAGUGAGAGAGAAUGCUAAUAAUUUGCUGACGAAACCCAAUAACUAUGCUUCUUUUGACACCAGGUGGUGUGAUUUCGCCGGAGAUAUGAUAGCUUUAAUAGACUUCAGGGUGUCUUCCAUACUUGUGAGGUCUCAUCAUGUGAUUCAUGCUAAACACGAAAACUAUAUAUACACUGUAAUAAGUGAAUGGUAGAUAAGUGGGUAGCACAUACACUAGCUAUAACAAUCAAAAUAUCCAAUAAUGUGGAUAGAUAUGUUACGAUGUGUUUUUUGGGGUUGUAUAUAAUAACAUUGAGGGUAAGACUAAUGGAAAUGGUUUUUAUCUGCAAGUCUCGUCCAGAAAUAAACCUGCUAUAGUUUCUGAUUAUACUCAUGUGAAGAAAUAUGACAAAUCCAAACUGGUAGAACGAAUGUUUUCUCUUGGUGACUGCUAGAAUGUUCGAUCUUACAAAGGCACUCAUAGUACUUGGACCUACAGUCUGACAGUUGCCAGAGAAUAAAAUAACAAGUGUUAUUCUAGCAAUGAAUAUUUAUAUGUUGUUCCCAUCUGUGUCUAUCGUUGCAAGUAAGCAGCAUGAUAACGAAGCGACGAUUGCAGUGACAGAGUUGACUGCUCAGUCUCAAGUUGAGUGCUAGGCGUUAUGAUUUUACCUGUAAGCUUUCAAUUAUUUAAAACAAAAUUCAUUCGCGUCACGAUGGGUACGGCACUGUGCCAACGUGUGUAUACAGCAGACAGCAUUCGCGAGCCAGGGACUAAUGUUCACAUUGUUUAGCGACAGCACUCGUCAUUGAUUCCUCAUACAUUUCCCAGAAGCAAAUUCUAUUUCUUGUCCGUUUAUGGCACGUUACAGGAAUGAACCAACCUGCAUGUGUCUCGCAGUAGCAGCCUGCCGUUACUGAUAGGAAGUCGUGUCCUAGUUCGACACACUUCAACUUAUAUUCAGUAGGCGUGUUAAGAUGGGCAAUUAUGGAUGUGGGUGCAUGCUCCAGUAAACAAAUUUGUGGUCACUGUUUAAUGAAACCAUCAAUGACCACUGUCACGCAGGUGAAGUGACAUUGCUUGCACCCGCAUUAUGGGGUGUGUCAACUGUUGGGUGAGUGGAGGACAUGCCUCGUAUCAUCACAUUGUCUAAAAGCACUUUCUUGUGCUUUCAUCAGUCGAUCCCUAUAGUAACCAGAGACUACUGCGUCGCGACUCGUUGAGCAUGUGAUUGUUAACUAUACAGAAGUCUGCGUACAGACAUCGCAGGCUGUAAUAAAUCUUAAGUGUUUAGUAAUAUCAUGUAA
rnacentral:misc_RNA from 1 species